GGGUAUAUAGCUCAAGUGGUAGAGCUCAUGCUUAGCAUGCAUGAGGUCCUGGGUUCAAUCCCCAGUACCUCCU
rnacentral:tRNA from 1 species